rnacentral:tRNA from 1 species
GGGGUUGUGGCUCAGUGGUAGAGCACUUGCCUAGCAUGUAUGAGGCACUGGGUUCAAUCCUCAGGACCACA